rnacentral:rRNA from 1 species
AGAGUUUGAUCCUGGCUCAGGAUGAACGCUAGCGACAGGCUUAACACAUGCAAGUCGAGGGGCAGCGGGGGCGUAGCAAUAUGCCUGCCGGCGACCGGCGCACGGGUGAGUAACACGUAUGUAACCUGCCCUAUGCAGGGGGAUAACCCGGAGAAAUCCGGCCUAAUACCGCGUAAUACCUUAGGGGAGCAUUCUCUUGAGGUUAAAGGAGAGAUCCGGCAUAGGAUGGACAUGCGUCGCAUUAGGUAGACGGCGGGGUAACGGCCCACCGUGCCGACGAUGCGUAGGGGUUCUGAGAGGAAGGCCCCCCACACUGGUACUGAGACACGGACCAGACUCCUACGGGAGGCAGCAGUGAGGAAUAUUGGUCAAUGGCCGAGAGGCUGAACCAGCCAAGUCGCGUGAGGGAAGAAUGUCCUAAGGAUUGUAAACCUCUUUUGUCGGGGAGCAAAAAGGCUCUGCGGAGUCGUAUUGAGAGUACCCGAAGAAAAAGCAUCGGCUAACUCCGUGCCAGCAGCCGCGGUAAUACGGAGGAUGCGAGCGUUAUCCGGAUUUAUUGGGUUUAAAGGGUGCGCAGGCGGCGUGUCAAGCAAGCGGUAAAAUAGCGGGGCUCAACCCCGUCGAGCCGUUUGAACUGGCGCGCUUGAGUUCAGGCGAGGUAGGCGGAAUUCGUGGUGUAGCGGUGAAAUGCAUAGAUAUCACGAAGAACUCCGAUUGCGAAGGCAGCUUACCAGUCUGCGACUGACGCUCAGGCACGAAAGUGUGGGUAUCGAACAGGAUUAGAUACCCUGGUAGUCCACACAGUAAACGAUGAGCGCUAGGUGUCCGGGUCGAAUGAGGCUUGGGUGCCCGAGCGAAAGCGUUAAGCGCUCCACCUGGGGAGUACGCCGGCAACGGUGAAACUCAAAGGAAUUGACGGGGGCCCGCACAAGCGGAGGAACAUGUGGUUUAAUUCGAUGAUACGCGAGGAACCUUACCCGGGCUCAAACGACUCAGGAAUAUAUUGGAAACGAUGUAGCCAGCAAUGGUCUGAGUCGAGGUGCUGCAUGGUUGUCGUCAGCUCGUGCCGUGAGGUGUCGGCUUAAGUGCCAUAACGAGCGCAACCCCUACCGCCAGUUGCCAACGGGUAAAGCCGGGAACUCUGGCGGGACUGCCGGCGCAAGCUGCGAGGAAGGCGGGGAUGACGUCAAAUCAGCACGGCCCUUACGUCCGGGGCGACACACGUGUUACAAUGGCAGGUACAGCGGGAAGCCACCUGGUGACAGGGAGCGGAACCCGAAAGCCUGUCUCAGUUCGGAUUGGAGUCUGCAACUCGACUCCAUGAAGCUGGAUUCGCUAGUAAUCGCGGAUCAGAAUGCCGCGGUGAAUACGUUCCCGGGCCUUGUACUCACCGCCCGUCAAG